UGCUGGGUCCGAGAGAACGUGGGAGAGGAGAGGAGCCCGGGCGGAAGCUGGUUGGGCGGGGCUCCCCCUUCCUGCCCCGCGUGGAGCAGAGCUCAGUCUGGGCUCUGUGCUUGUAGGUCCCAGUCCUGAGUUUUGCCUCCUUAAUCCAGCUGAAAGCCUGAACAAAGAAUUGUCCUUUUAACAAUAAGGAGAAUUUACAAGGUCCUUUGGACUUUCCUCAAAGACCCUAGAGAUGGCUACCAUCAGACAUACACACAUA